GACGAACGCUGGCGGCGUGGAUUAGGCAUGCAAGUCGAACGGUAUCAUCCUUUCGGGGGUGAGAGAGUGGCGAACUGGUGAGUAACACGUAGGUUAUCUACCCUCAAGACGGGGACAACCCAGGGAAACUUGGGCUAAUACCGGAUGUGAGCAACUUUUAGUUGUUUGAAAGGUGGCGUAAGCUGUCGCUUGGGGAUGAGCCUGCGUCCUAUUAGUUAGUUGGUGAGGUAACGGCUCACCUAGGCAAUGAUAGGUAGGCGGCCUUAACGGGUGGUCGCCCACACUGGGAUUGACGAUACGGCCCAGACUCCUACGGGAGGCAGCAGUCGAGAAUAGUCUACAAUGGUCGGAAGACUGAUAGUGCGACGCCGCGUGAACGAUGAAUCCCUUACGGGGUGUAAAGUUCUUUUAUAUGUGAGCAGUGCUUCUUAUAUUAACAGUAUGGGGAGAGGAGAUAUUAGCAUAUGAAUAAGCAACGGCUAACUCCGUGCCAGCAGCCGCGGUAAUCUCG
rnacentral:rRNA from 1 species